rnacentral:rRNA from 1 species
GACGAACGUUGGCGGCGUGCUUAACACAUGCAAGUCGAACGGAAAGGCCCUGCUUUUGUGGGGUGCUCGAGUGGCGAACGGGUGAGUAACACGUGAGUAACCUGCCCUUGACUUUGGGAUAACUUCAGGAAACUGGGGCUAAUACCGGAUAGGAGCUCCUGCUGCGUGGUGGGGGUUGGAAAGUUUCGGCGGUUGGGGAUGGACUCGCGGCUUAUCAGCUUGUUGGUGGGGUAGUGGCUUACCAAGGCUUUGACGGGUAGCCGGCCUGAGAGGGUGACCGGCCACAUUGGGACUGAGAUACGGCCCAGACUCCUACGGGAGGCAGCAGUGGGGAAUAUUGCACAAUGGGCGGAAGCCUGAUGCAGCAACGCCGCGUGCGGGAUGACGGCCUUCGGGUUGUAAACCGCUUUCGCCUGUGACGAAGCGUGAGUGACGGUAAUGGGUAAAGAAGCGCCGGCUAACUACGUGCCAGCAGCCGCGGUGAUACGUAGGGUGCGAGCGUUGUCCGGAUUUAUUGGGCGUAAAGGGCUCGUAGGUGGUUGAUCGCGUCGGAAGUGUAAUCUUGGGGCUUAACCCUGAGCGUGCUUUCGAUACGGGUUGACUUGAGGAAGGUAGGGGAGAAUGGAAUUCCUGGUGGAGCGGUGGAAUGCGCAGAUAUCAGGAGGAACACCAGUGGCGAAGGCGGUUCUCUGGGCCUUUCCUGACGCUGAGGAGCGAAAGCGUGGGGAGCGAACAGGCUUAGAUACCCUGGUAGUCCACGCUGUAAACGGUGGGUACUAGGUGUGGGGUCCAUUCCACGGGUUCCGUGCCGUAGCUAACGCUUUAAGUACCCCGCCUGGGGAGUACGGCCGCAAGGCUAAAACUCAAAGGAAUUGACGGGGCCCCGCACAAGCGGCGGAGCAUGCGGAUUAAUUCGAUGCAACGCGUAGAACCUUACCUGGGUUUGACAUGGAUCGGGAGUGCUCAGAGAUGGGUGUGCCUCUUUUGGGGUCGGUUCACAGGUGGUGCAUGGCUGUCGUCAGCUCGUGUCGUGAGAUGUUGGGUUAAGUCCCGCAACGAGCGCAACCCUUGUUCACUGUUGCCAGCACGUUAUGGUGGGGACUCAGUGGAGACCGCCGGGGUCAACUCGGAGGAAGGUGGGGAUGACGUCAAGUCAUCAUGCCCCUUAUGUCCAGGGCUUCACGCAUGCUACAAUGGCUGGUACAGAGAGUGGCGAGCCUGUGAGGGUGAGCGAAUCUCGGAAAGCCGGUCUCAGUUCGGAUUGGGGUCUGCAACUCGACCUCAUGAAGUCGGAGUCGCUAGUAAUCGCAGAUCAGCAACGCUGCGGUGAAUACGUUCCCGGG